rnacentral:rRNA from 1 species
UACGUAGGGCGCAAGCGUUAUCCGGAAUUAUUGGGCGUAAAGAGCUCGUAGGCGGUUUGUCGCGUCUGCCGGUGAAAGUCCGGGGCUCAACUCCGGAUCUGCGGUGGGUACGGGCGGGCUAGAGUUCGGUAGGGGAGACUGGAAUUCCUGGUGUAGCGGUGAAAUGCGCAGAUAUCAGGAGGAACACCGGUGGCGAAGGCAGCUCGCUGGGACGUGACUGACGCUGGAGACGCGAAAGCGUGGGGAGCAAACAGG